AGACGUCUACAUUAGUAUACCGUCGUAGUCCCACGCGUAACCUAAUGCUCGCUAGGUGGUCAGGGCAUGGCGCGACCGUGUCUGGUGCCGCAGGGAAGCCGUGAAGCGAGCCACCUGGGAAGUACGGCCGCAAGGCUGAAACUUAAAGGAAUUGGCGGGGGAGCACAACAACGGGUGGAGCCUGCGGUUUAAUUGGACUCAACGCCGGACAACUCACCGGGAACGACAGCAAUAUGUAGGCCAGGCUGAAGACCUUGCCUGAAUCGCUG
rnacentral:rRNA from 1 species